UAUGACAACGGCAAGGUGCGUUGAGAAUAAUUAAGGCGCGGACAAAUAUCAAAUUUUAGUUUUAUCUGGAUUAUGAUUAUCACGUAUGUAUGAUAAUUAUUAAUGUUUAAUCACUGCAAAGGUAACUAGUAUUUAGAAUGUAAACGAAUAGACCCGGCGAUUUGACUGAAAUUAAUACUUCCGUUUUCGACGGAACAGCAGUAUUUGAUGAAGUAGAAUUAUUAACGUGUAAUGUCAAAGGUGGUAAAAGCAAAAUAAACAAGAAUGCUAAGAAAAAGGAGGCGCUCAAUUCUAAUAAGUUGAACGCGAUCAAAUAUACUGUAAGAGAAAUGUUUCCGAAGACAUUCAAUGAUGCUAAAAUGAAUACUGCCAUAAAUAACAAAGUGUCAGCUAUUUGUAGAGCAAAGAGAUUAGAAGAGAUGGAUAUGAACUAGAUUAAUUUAAGAGAUUUUAAUUUAAGACGAUUUAAAAAUGUAAUGUUUUGAAAAUUAAUGUUUAUGAUAUUAUUCACGCAUUCAUGUUUUAAAAUUAAUAUUUGAAAAUUGAAAAAAUGUUAUUUGA